GAGCCAGCCGGCCCACAGCCAGAGCCAUGCAAGCGCAGUUCUCUUCGGACAGAGCCACUGUCUCAAGACUCUGCCCUUCUUCAAGAGAAGAGCCCAGAAGAAGAGAGAAUGACUGCUAGGCCCUUUAUGGCUGGAUUCAGGGUGAGCUGGAUUUUCUUUUCAUUUCCUGAAAUAUCUUAUAUUUUCUACUUUCAUUCUGGUGGUUUGGGGCCCAA
rnacentral:lncRNA from 1 species